GCCUGUGAACACAGCAGGUACACAUGAUGCACACAAUUCAAUACUCACUCUGAACAUCACUUGUCAGGAGGAAUGUGAUAACAUGCACCACCAGCUGAUCA